CAGCACACUGGACUGAGACACGGUCCAGACUCCUACGGGAGGCAGCAGUGGGGAAUAUUGCACAAUGGGCGAAAGCCUGAUGCAGCCAUGCCGCGUGUAUGAAGAAGGCCUUCGGGUUGUAAAGUACUUUCAGUUGUGAGGAAGGGGGUAGCGUUAAUAGCGCUAUCUCUUGACGUUAGCAACAGAAGAAGCACCGGCUAACUCCGUGCCAGCAGCCGCGGUAAUACGGAGGGUGCGAGCGUUAAUCGGAAUUACUGGGCGUAAAGCGCAUGCAGGUGGUUCAUUAAGUCAGAUGUGAAAGCCCGGGGCUCAACCUCGGAACUGCAUUUGAAACUGGUGAACUAGAGUACUGUAGAGGGGGGUAGAAUUUCAGGUGUAGCGGUGAAAUGCGUAGAGAUCUGAAGGAAUACCAGUGGCGAAGGCGGCCCCCUGGACAGAUACUGACACUCAGAUGCGAAAGCGUGGGGAGCAAACAGGAUUAGAUACCCUGGUAGUCCACGCCGUAAACGAUGUCUACUUGGAGGUUGUGGCCUUGAGCCGUGGCUUUCGGAGCUAACGCGUUAAGUAGACCGCCUGGGGAGUACGGUCGCAAGAUUAAAACUCAAAUGAAUUGACGGGGGCCCGCACAAGCGGUGGAGCAUGUGGUUUAAUUCGAUGCAACGCGAAGAACCUUACCUACUCUUGACAUCCAGAGAAGCCAGCGGAGACACAGGUGUGCCUUCGGGAGCUCUGAGACAGGUGCUGCAUGGCUGUCGUCAGCUCGUGUUGUGAAAUGUUGGGUUAAGUCCCGCAACGAGCGCAACCCUUAUCCUUGUUUGCCAGCGAGUAAUGUCGGGAACUCCAGGGAGACUGCCGGUGAUAAACCGGAGGAAGGUGGGGACGACGUCAAGUCAUCAUGGCCCUUACGAGUAGGGCUACACACGUGCUACAAUGGCGCAUACAGAGGGCAGCAAGCUAGCGAUAGUGAGCGAAUCCCNNAAAAGUGCGUCGUAGUCCGGAUUGGAGUCUGCAACUCGACUCCAUGAAGUCGGAAUCGCUAGUAAUCGUAGAUCAGAAUGCUACGGUGAAUACGUUCCC
rnacentral:rRNA from 1 species